CGAGUCCGAGGAGCUAAGGCUCCAAAGUGAUGCGAGUCAGACUUCCCAGAAAAGCCCGAACCACGUUAAUUUCUAAUUACCUGUACCCGGAACCGACACAGGUGGGUAGGUAGAGUAUACUAAGGGGCGCGAGAUAACUCUCUCUAAGGAACUCGGCAAAAUGACUCCGUAACUUCGGGAGAAGGAGUGCCUUAUUUAUAAGGUUGCAAUAACAAGAUCCAAGCAACUGUUUAUCAAAAACACAGGUCUCCGCUAAGUCGUAAGACGAUGUAUGGGGGCUGACGCCUGCCCAGUGCCAGAAGGUUAAAGAAGUUGGUUAGUGUAUGCGAAGCUGAUGACUGAAGCCCUGGUGAACGGCGGCCGUAACGAUAACGGUCCUAAGGUAGCGAAAUUCCUUGUCGGGUAAGUUCCGACCCGCACGAAAGGCGUAAUGAUUUGGAUACUGUCUCGGAGAGAGGCUCGGUGAAAUAGACUUGUCUGUGAAGAUGCGGACUACCUGCACCAGGACAGAAAGACCCUAUGAAGCUUUACUGUAACUUGAAAUUGGAAUUGGACUUUGCUUGCGCAGUAUAGGUGGGAAGCGUUGAAGAUAUUCUUGCGGGAGUAUUGGAGCUAUCAGUGAGAUACCACUCUUGUAAUGUUAGAUUUCUAACUUUGAACCAUAAUCUGGUCAAAGAACAGUUUCAGGUGGGCAGUUUGACUGGGGCGGUCGCCUCCCAAAUGGUAACGGAGGCGUACAAAGGUUUCCUCUGAACGGAUAGAAAUCGUAUCUAGAGUGUAAAGGCAUAAGGAAGCUUGACUGUGAGACCUACAAGUCGAGCAGGGACGAAAGUCGGUCUUAGUGAUCUGACGGUACUGAGUGGAAAGGCCGUCACUCAACGGAUAAAAGUUACUCUAAGGAUAACAGGCUGAUCUCCCCCAAGAGUUCACAUCGACGGGGAGGUUUGGCGCCUCGAUGUCGGCUCAUCGCAUCCUGGGGCGGUAGCACGUCCCAAGGGUUGGGCUGUUCGCCCAUGAAAGCGGUACGCGAGCUGGGUUCAGGACGUCGUGAGACAGUUCGGUCCAUAUCCGGUGUAGGCGUUAGAAUAUUGAGAGGAGCCUUCUUUAGUACGAGAGGACCGAGAAGGACACACCGCUGGUGUACCAGUUAUCGUGCCAACGGUAAACGCUGGGUAGCUAUGUGUGGAGUGGAUAACCGCUGAAAGCAUCUAAGUGGGAAGCCCACCUCAAGAUGAGUAUUCUCAUC
rnacentral:rRNA from 1 species